GUCUUAUUGAUAAAAAUGAUAAGUCGAUUUCUGCCCAUUGAAAAAAAAAUAGUUUAAAAGGCUGCGGUAUAUUAACUGUACAAAGGUAGCAAAAUAAAUAGUUUUUUAAUUGAGAACUUGAAUGAAAGAGUUGAUAAAAUAUAAAUUGUCUCAAUUUAAUGAAUAUAUAAUUUAAAUAAAGAGUUAAAAUGCUUUUAUAAAUUUAUUAGACGAUAAGACCCUAAGAAUUUUAUAAUUUAAUUAUUAUUAAUAAAUUUAAAUAAUAAUUUUAAUAAAAAUUAAAAUAUUUUAUUGGGAGGAUAAUUAAAUUUAAACUUUAAUUUAUAAAAAAUAUAAUUAAAUAAAUUUUUAAUGAUUAAAAUAUUAAUUAUAAGAAUAAAUUACCUUAGGGAUAACAGCGUAAUAAUUUUGGAUAGUUCAUAUUGAUAAAAUUGUUUGCGACCUCGAUGUUGAAUUAAAAUAAAAAUUAAAUGAAGAUAUUUAAGUUUUUAGUCUGUUCGACUAUUAAAAUUUUACA
rnacentral:rRNA from 1 species